rnacentral:lncRNA from 1 species
AGAAGCCAGGAGAUUCUCCUCCCUCUCUGUUCCUGCAGCAUUUUCUACCGCAGCAGCAUCUAUUCUCUGACUUGAGAUCCUGCCUCUGGCAUCUUAGCUCCUGCUGCUCAUCCCGGGGCAUCCACUGUUGUCGUCCCAGUUCCUGCUCUGGGCUCUCAUGCCACCUCUUCACACUGUCCCUCUGUCUUUAGGAGUGAUAACAGCUUCUUGCUGUGGCUAAUCUCUGGGUUACUCUCCUGUGAGUUCCCAUCCGGGCAGCCAGUUCGUUUUGCUCUCAGUGUCUUUUAAAUUCAGCCCAGAUCAUCUGCUCCUCGUAGGCAGGCAACAUCUCAUGCAGAUUUUCUGGUUGGUCUUCACAUGGUUGCUCACAGGCUAUCGUGUGGCCCUGGAGUGUGGGGCCAUGGAGUCCUCUGCUGGAUCCUUGGCAUUUGACAGACAGAAAGGGAAAGAGAAUGAGAAAGAGAGGAGAACCCAUGGGAGGUUUUCCUGGAUCAAGCUUCAAAGUUGUGAACUGGCUAGUUACAAGAAUUCUCACAUUUCAUUUUCCAGAUCUCAGCCACAUGACCGUAUCUGAUUGUAAGGGAGGCUAGGAAAUGUAGUUUAGAGUGAAUGUUUGUGUCCCCUCAAAACUCAUAUGUUGAAACCUAGUCCCCAGUGUGAUGUUAUUUGGAGGUGGGGACUUAGAGGUGAGAAGUCCCAUGAAUGGGAUCAGUGUCCUUAUAAGUGAGACCCCAGAGAGCUCCCUGGCCCCCUCCAGCGUGUGAGGACACAGCCAUAUCAAAUCUGCCAGCGCCUUGAUCUUGGACUUCCCAGCCUCCAGAAUGGUGAGAAAUAAAUGUCUGUUGUUUAAGCCACCUAAUCUAUGGCGUUUUUGUUAUAGCAGCCCCAACAGACUAAGACA